rnacentral:rRNA from 1 species
CAAUAGCGUAUGUUUAAGUUGCUGCAGUUAAAAAGCUCGUAGUUGGAUUUCGGGUGGGAAUGGCCGGUCCGCCGUUUCGGUGUGCACUUGCUACGCCCACCUUGCUGCCGGGGACGUGCUCUUGAGUUCACGCUCGGGACACGGAGUCGGCGAGGUUACUUUGAGUAAAUUAGAGUGUUCAAAGCAGGCCUACGCUCUGAAUACAUUAGCAUGGAAUAACACGAUAGGACUCUGGCCUAUCUUGUUGGUCUGUAGGACCGGAGUAAUGAUUAAGAGGGACAGUCGGGGGCAUUCGUAUUUCAUUGUCAGAGGUGAAAUUCUUGGAUUUAUGAAAGACGAACUACUGCGAAAGCAUUUGCCAAGGAUGUUUUCAUUGA